rnacentral:lncRNA from 1 species
AAUCUUAAAAUGUUUAUUGUAUUUGAAAUGUCAUUCGUAGUAGAAAUUAUAAUAAAAAAGGAAAGAAAAAUCCUAUUUUUACUUCUCCCACCGCCCUCUCUCCAUCUUGUGCACGUCCAUUCUCUGGAACUCCCACCGCUCAGUCUCAUCUCUAUGCUUAUCCCCACCGUUUCUUCUAGUCUAUGUACGAUGCUCCUUUGUUCUUUAUUCUGAGAUGAGCAUUUCCUGGAAGCACACACGUACGCCACCUCCCACUUAUCACGUUACAUCUCCUAGGUUCCAGCCGACGCUUAUUCUUUAGAAUUUUUCCAGGCGCUCUCAUCUCCAGCCAUCCAGACAAACGACCGCGUCGGCAGCAGCAGAGCUCGCUGCCUGUGUCUCUUUCAAGCUCUCGGCGCUAGCUCUUACUAGCAGGCGGCGCCCAGGUCCAGCUCCCUCCAUCGCGUCCUCGCGCUCGCUCCUGACACAGAGUUCCGAGCCAUGUCGGGCCUGUCCUCCAGGCGUGCUCGGCCUUAUAUCAGAUUCCUUGCCUCGACCUCAUCGCAGCAGCAUCGGUGCUCCGUCGUCGCUGAGUUCUCUCGGCGCACUGCGACGUCGUCGUCGUCGUCGUCUCCUCGCCGGCCGUGCUCGACUCCACAGCUCCUUCACGUCGUCGACUUCGAUAACCCACGGCCUCUCCUCCAAUCACAUCGCACUCACUCGCGGUGUCGUCGUGAAGACGCUAGCUGCCUGCCUCGCCGGUUAGUAGUCGAUUUUUAUUUGUUUGAAGCUGAUGGCCGUAUACUUAGUAUUAUUGGUGUCGUCCUGUAGCUCCUCGCGCCCACCAAGCCAUCGUGCUUAGCGUGCUCGUGCGGUCUUACGUGUUCCUCUCGCUUCAUUAACCUGUUGUGUGUUAGAGCAGGUAUGAUUCGGAUGUAUACGUAAAUAUGGGAGAAAGCCCGAGAGAAAUGAGUUCUUGUGUCAUUGUAGUCGGCUUUAGUUAGCGCCAUCAUCCUUAUCUUGUUUUUGUGCAUGGUGGAUUAGAGAAGAAAAAAUUUAGAUUGUGUUUGCGCAUUGCUUCUCGCGUCGCUCAACUGUUGUCCGGUGUUUUGGUAGAGACCGUCACGUUUUCACGGUUUCCGAGUCUAAUUAGUCCUGGUUAGCUAGUUCGCUACUCCCGCUAGUUAGUAUGUUAUAUAGAAAGGUUAGAUUGAUAUGUUAGUCACUACGAAUAAUUUUGGAUGCUAGGAGUGUUUAAAAAUAGGUUGUGAGUGUUAAAUUAAUUUCCUAUAAUAAUUAUGUAUCUUCUAAAUCUUAGAAAUAAUGGUGGUGCUAUUUAGACCUUGGGUAGCUCAUAGUAAUGUGAGGUUCAAUUUGGUGUAUGUGAUGUUAGUCGUCAGAUUUCAGCCUAAUUAAAAUGCCCUUUCUUUAAUAGAGUAAAUACUUAGGUAAUUAAGAAAAAUAGGAUAAUUAGUAGUUUUAAUUGUUUCUGUAAUGUUGAGUGAAGUCCAUGGAGCUCUACCGUUGGGUAAUCUGUGGCUUGUGCUUAGUGUUGGCUAGAACCCUACGUAACUCAUUUAGCGGGUCAGCUAGAAUUUAUAUCGAUAGCGGAGUGCUUCUUAUCCGAGCAAGAAGGUUGUAUUUGAGAUUUUAUUGCUAUAGAUUCUUUAUAUUGCACUUGUGUUCAUUUCAUCAUCAUAUCGAUAAUCAUAUCAUACAUCUUUACGUGUAGAUCACGUUUUCGGUGAAUCGAUCACUUGGUGAAGCAAUUUUCUAGAGGUUGGUUAUCCCCCAAAAGGCUUGUAGCAUUUUGUUUCUUUUUCAUUUGGCUUUCGCUGCAACAAAGGCAAGCCUCAGUGCAUUCACCAUUUUCCGUGUUCUUUACAAAACUUUUAUCACUUGAUAUAAUGCAUUAUGUGAUAGGAGUUGCGUGAUCAAACAAUUGAUGCAUUAAUUCCUUGAGAAUUUUAAUAAUUAUUCCUUGAUAACUGUUGUAUGAAAAAAUAGUGCUGCUUAUCCCUGCUUAAUGAGAUAGGGUUUUGAAACUUAUUUUGAUUACUGGAUGUUGUUAUUGUUAGAGAAAUAGUCAUUUUUAGUUUUAAUUUAAUCCAGAAAACUAGAGUGAUGUAUGUGCAUGUGUGUAUCACUACUCACAUAAGCAGUAAACAACAGUAAAACAUACACAAUUACUCUGAACAUAAUGUACCCUGUGGAGGGAUCGUUGCUCAAGGCAUUAGUGGCUCCAUUCACAUGAGACAUCUCGUGUGUAUGUUCGAUGUAGUCGCACGUAGUCGAUGGAGGUAGAUGUACACAGUGUAGCCCCUCGAACGGCGUCGGCGUCGAGGAACCUGAUCAGCGUUGAUCGAGCGGACGAAGCGAGCAGUCGCGAGUACGCUCCCCAAAAACAUGAUCGCCCGCACACCUGUGCAAGUGUAGCUCUAUGGAUGGUGAUUUCAGAGGCAUGCUCUCCCAUACUCUUUGUGCUCGUAGAAGGUGGGACGAGAAUGGCUGUGUGCAACGCGUCUGAGACUGUUCGUACGUGCUAUAAUCAGAAGCAGCCUACCCUCCUCCAUAUAUUUACAUGCGCAGAGGGAGGCGAAUGGACGAUAACGGUCGUCAUCAGAGCUACCAUUACAAAUGUAACACCCCUGGUGUUACUGUCACUAAAACUUGAGCAUAACAUCAUGAGCAUUAGCAUAUCAUGUGUUUGUCACACCUAGAGUGCAUUCACUAGGUAAAAAUUUCAAAUAUGUUGUACUAAUAUGACUUGAUGUGUGGUUAACUCUAGUGUAAAGUACUUAACCCUAAAUCUGGGCUUAUGGAUAUAAGGGAAGGCCAAGCAUGAGAAAACUUCAAAAGAUAUGAGGAAUGAUCCUAAGAUAUCCUCUUGGAAGGACUUGAGUGACAUCCAAACCCUAGAGUACUAAAAACCCUGAAAAGGUCCAUGAAAGACCCUAAACUGAAAUCCUAGGGGGAUAAGUGCAAAUUUUGUACACUUUUGGACUAAAGUGCAAAAACAAAGGUAAUAUAACACCACAAACUAUGUGCUUCUCACAUUUAAGGAUUUGCAAGUUAAAAAGUGGAAUUUGGACUUAAUUGCAAAAAGUACCUUUUGAAUCCCCAUAUGCUUAAGUCAUAAUUCAGUGCAAUUGGAGCAACUUUGGAGCUUUAUAUCUUUUAAUCCAUGAUUCUAUUCUGGCUUAAUACAUCAAGGUUAUAGAGCUGUUAUAGGAGUACAACUUUACUUAAGUGAUUAUGCCUUGGUGUUGUACAAAAAUAGGAGCUAAAUCGGUUUGAAAUCUGGCUGUCAGACCACCCUGUGACUAAUUAUUAAUUGAUAGUGAGUUUUGGCGAACUUUGGAUUUGAUUCUAGCUCAAGGGAAUAAGCAAAUGAGCAAGAUCUUUACAGCAGAAUUGUAGCUGGUUUAUAGAGCUACAACUUUGUCAAAGGUGGAUUAACAAGUUGUUAAAUGGAAUUUUGAAGUUUAGGCGCUGCAAUCUGCUCUAUCAGGUGUUCUGAAUAACAUACUGAUGGUACAGUAACUGACACAGAUCCUAGGUACAGCUCCCCUCGCCGCAACUGAGCCGUGCGCCCGGAUUCACGCCAGCCGUCACGAUUCGUGCCUCGGAUGUAUGGAUUACGCUCAACGGUAAGAAGAUCUCGUCACGGAUGAGCUCGGGACAUUAUGGCCGCGCUGUCACUCGUCCACUUACGCCGGCGACGUGGUCAAGCGACCGUCGUCGAGGUAUGCGUCGUCCGCCGUGAUCGCGACACGCUAUGACCCUUUAACCAUGUCGCAGUACAUCGCCUUAGCAUGUCUAUUCAUCGCUGGUGGUCUUGCCACAGUAACAUCCACGAAUUGCUUGCGCCAGUAACUUCUUCCCUCUCCGGCCGCCACCACGCCAUCUCCAAUUCACGGGCCACCGCCCUCGAAUCAUAUCAAUUGAGCGUGCCAUCGGCUCCUCUAUGUAGUCAAGCACCCAACACACCCACCCGUGCCUCUGAUUAUCCACUAGAGAGCCCCAAUUCGAGACUUCCCCCAAAUCGGUCCAGAGCACCGUACUGAGUGAGCUCGCCGUGGCCAACGCUCUACAGGUCCGUUCAUGCCCUUUGUUUCCUCGUUUCAGUACCCUUAUCUGCCUUUGAUGCUUCUCGAUCCGGCCGAUUAAGCUAGAACCCAUAAGAUCACCGGGAACGCUUCAAGUUAUCCGUUGAUCGCACUGUCACCAUGGGCAGAGAGAUUGGGGCCUAGAACCUUGAAAUUGGUUGAGGGGAAAUGAUUAUUAGGGGUCGAAUUAGGUGACAACCUCUUCUGAGCACCGGUCAUUGCGUAUCUUGGCCGGUACAGGCUCGCCGGAGCCACUGCUCCGUCGUUCAGCAUCGUGGACAUGGCGUUGUGAAGGAAUAGAAAUGUGAGGGUCUCGGUGCAAUUGUCAGUGACUCAGGAAAUAGUGCUUCAGAAUGUUUUCUAGUUGUUUAAAACCCAGAGGCCUUUGCGCAAAGUCAUUAGCGCUGGCGCGCACGGGGGCGUUUUGCCUAUCGUGGGCCGUCUUGGGCCAGAUUGAGCCCACUACUGUUGAUGCUUUCCCUUUUUCUUUUUCUUCCAGACUUAGGAAAUCCAUAGACAAUUCUAGGAAAAUGCUAAAAAUAUAAGACCAAUUUUGCUGGACUACUAAAUUUCUAUAGUAUUUAAUAAAAAUAGUUCUAGGAUUUUUAGUCCAAACCAGGAAUUAUUCAGUAUUAAAAAGGGCUAAAACCUAUACUCCUGGAAUUUUAGAAAUUAAUUAGUAACUCCAAAAAGCACCAAACUUUUUGGAUAAGCUUAAAAUAAUAUUUAGAAACCUUGUGUGAGGUUUGACUUGCUUUGGACAUUGUUUGAUCCCUAAACCUAAAACCCUAGUCUUCUAGGUAAUGUCUGCCCUCUGAAAUGAAGAACUGACUCCAAAAACCCUAGUUUCCUAGAGUACUAUCACUACACGACGGUUGAUCUUUAGCGACCCUUUUUAGGUACCAACUGUUGGUUGCUAAAGGUUAGGGACCGACGGUCAGUCACUAAAUCCUUUUGUAGCAACAGUCGGUUGGUCGCUAAAAGUCUAGAAAUUUAACAACUUAUGGUUGGUCGCUAUAGAUGUCGUCGGGGACUAGCGGCAGGUCGCUAUAGAGCAAGGAUCACUAUCAAAUCUUAUAGCCUGAACGUACCUGUAGAUGUUAGUGACUAAAUAUUAAUUAAAACAAGUAAACAUUGAUCGCUAAAUUGCGUGGUGAUUUAUUUCUUUUUAAUAUUGCUUGUAUGUUUAUUUCAUGGUUUGUUUAUGUAUGGACAUGACUAUAGUAUGCAACUGUGUUCUUUGUGCUUAUAUGAUAUUAGAUUCGAGUUGAAAGUCGUUUCAAAUCCUACAUAAAGAUUAUGGAUAAACCAUGGAUCACAAGUGAAUGGUUUUCUAGGGAGACAAAGAUUAAUAAACAAGGGGUGAAUGGUUUUCUAGCUUUUGUAUUUAGACAUUCAGCAAUAGGAAACAAGAUACUAUGCCCUUGCAAGAAGUGUGUUAACUCAUUUUGGAGAGAGGCCGGUGAAGUGCGAGAACACUUGAUAUGUGAUGGUUUUCUAAAAGGGUACACAACAUGGACCUUACAUGGAGAAGCUUCGUCCUCUUUUGUGAAUCAUGGUAACAAUGAUUGUAACACCCCAGGUGUUGCCAUGGCUGGAGCACACCUUGGCACUCAAGACUAUGAUCACAUGUGGAAGAACUUAAGGAGCAAAAGUAUAAGGGGCUUUGGAAACUAAGUUUUUACCAAGAGUUGGGAAUAACCAAAGGCAUUACCCUAAUUGUGUGCAACUAUCACCUUGGGAGAGGGGGGAAGAACCCUAGACCUCUCUUAAACCCUAGCUCCCAAAACCAUGGAGAAGGGGGGGAAGAGAGUGAGCAAAUGUGCAAAACAUGAGUUACUUUUACCCCAAACCCUAAGCAACAUUUAACCAUCAAUUAGGGGGGGGAAUAUUGCAAAAAGGCCCCUGGGGAAACCCCAUUUCCAAUCUCUAAGUGGAAGAGAGAGCUAGAGCUCUCUAGUUCCCUCUAAGUCCCAUUUUAGCCCUAAAUCAAAGAUCAACCGUGUUCACUUUAAAAAUGGCGCCAAAACCACUUGGGUUCUAUACCAAAAAUGUGCAAUACCACUUAGGGCACCCACUGGAAAAAGUUGAGCUCGAGACUCGGACGUUUGACAUGCCAUGGCAUGGCUUUUGUCGCGAAGUGCUCAGUGUGACACACCUGAUUUGGCACCCGAAGAUCUCCCUCCCUAGGCCGUAUCUGCCCCGACGUCUCACAGUUGAGUGACAGCCCUAGGUGCCAGGAAGAGGUCUGCGUCGGACUUUUGCAAAGAUUCGCACGUUUGCGACCUCUGGCGACAUUUGAACACUGGAAGAAACAAACAGCCACGUGUUCGACGCCGUCUGCCGCGCCAGAGCACGCCCGAGCACGCCCCGCGCCGCGCCCGAGCCAUGCCAGUGCCCUGGUCCGCGUCCGCGACUAUAAAACGCCAAGAAGCUUUGGCCGUACCCCUCCGCACGCGCCCAAGCCUCACCGGAGCUCAGUUCGCCGCCGUUUGCCCAUACGCGACGUGCCCGCGGCCACCCGAGCCCCUGCCGCCGUAGACCGGCCAGCCCAGCCAUUCCCAACCCCGUCCAGCCCUCGGAGAAGACUGUGCACGUCUCCGUGAAGCUCCCCUAGCGAGGAAUCGGGCUCUGCUUCACCGGAGAGGCCGGCCCAAGGUCACCGGACUUCAACCGACCGCCGGCAACCGUGGACCGAGGUACACCGGGCACCUCUUUUCGAUUCCUUGCACGGUUAGACUCCUUAGACCUCCACGAAGCUCCCUAUGCCCUUGGAUUGAACCAUGCCGCCAUGGAUAGGCCGGAGCACACGCCGCCGACGAGCUCGCCCGCCUGCUCACGUGGACCGGGCGAUUCCGGCCAUCCCCGACGACGAGCCGUACCUCGACGUGAUCGCCAGACCCUCCCCGAGCCGACCCCACCCUUCGCCGGACCUCCCUCGCCGCCGGUAAGCCGCGCCACCCUUUUCUUUCCCGCGACUACUGUUUCGGUUGAGAGAGGGACUGCGGGUGAGAGGGAGAGAAGUCCAGGGGGUUAAGUGAAAGGUCAGAGACUCAAGUGAAUAGUGCCGCGAGGGUAGAUCUGUGAGGUUUGAUUUGUUUUAAACCUAGGGACCUCGGCGCAAACUGUAUUUCCAGGAAAACUUAAUUAAAACCUGAUUUAAAUUCAAACAGAAACUUUAAAAACCCAUAACUUCUGUUUGGUUUAUCCAAAUUUGGUCAAACUAAUUUUGCCAGACUCUAAAUAAUGUACCCUAUUUAGGAAAAAUAUAAAACCCCUUGGUGCUGUGGAAAACUUAAAAGUUCUGAUUUAAUGUUAACUUUGGCCAAAAGCUAAAUAAUAGUAAGAAAAAUAGUUGGGCUAUUUGACUAGGGUUAGGAAAAUUUGGAGAAGUUUAUAUUCACCUACUAACCUGUUUAAAAAUGUUAAACCCUUCUGUCCAUUACAUUAAGUUAGUUUUAACCCCUUAUUCCAUAAUAUGCUUAAGUUUAAGAAAAAUAGGAAAAGUGACAUAAAUAUUGAACCAGAGGGGACCUCUAUUUUUGUUAGGUCACUUAUUCAAUAUAGUUCACUAGAAAAAUACAUCAUACCCUGUUUUAGUGUAAAGUGAUCAAGAUCUCUUUUAUUUUAAUAAAACAAGGGAAACUUAGAAAAAUUCUACAAAAAUAACCCCAAGGUAAAAACACCCCCACCCUUGGGAUAACUAUUGUUUUAUUAGAGAGAACUUAGGAAAAAUAUGAAAUCUGCUGUUUGACAUUUUUCAAAUAAUAAUGUAGUAGAAAGAGCCUUUUUGACCCUAAACUUGAGAAAAUCAUAACUAAAUAACCACCCCUUAAUUUUCUGUGAUUUUUAGCACAGAGACCUAUUAUUACCAUGAGAUGCCAGAAAAAAAUAACCUUUAGGACAGAACCUACACAUAAUUAAGAGGUGUAGUGCAAAGAGGCCCAUUUUGCAUAACUUUUGUCAUCUUUGUUAAAGCCUAGUUUUUAUACUUUAAGCCUCAUAUUCCCAAAACAAGCUAGAAUGGCAAAUGACAACCCACUGUAAUUUUUACAGAAUUUUUAGAAAUUAUUAAAAUCUUGUUGUAGUUCAAACCUACCUUAGAAACCCUAAAUGGAAAAUUUAAGAAAGGAAAAUAAAUAAUGUGAAUUAAUGAUUCCCCAAAACCUUGUAAUCUGUCCACUAGAGUGUAUCAAGACCCUACCAAUUCCACUAUGAGUCCUAAAGCCAAACUUAAGUCUAAAAGGUAAAGAGUCUAUCUAUAUAUAUGUACACCACUAGAAGCCCCACAUGACUAAGAAAACCCUAAGUUACUUCUUAACUUAGUUUCUUUAACUUAAUGUUCUUAAAUCUUGCAUAAUCAUGACAUACAUGUUCAUUGCAUUCGAUAGACUGUAAUCUUGCUGACGGAGAGUACAUCCUCGUGCCGGAGCAAGGAGCUGCCCAGGAGGUUGCCCCCGACCCAGCACCAGAGCCUGCACCUGAGGACCUGCCUGCCACUACUUUUGAAGGCAAGCCCCGGUUUUAUGCAUAACCUGUU